GGGAGAGACUGAAGGCCAUGGAUAACCUCCUGCGCUGUGGUAUCUGUUUUGAAUACUUCAACAUUGCCAUGAUGAUCCCUCACUGUUCGCAUAAUUGGAUUUUGAUGCAACUGAAUGCUCCAAAAUGGACUAGCAAGCCAAAGCUGGAAGUCAACCCCAUUCAUGUGGUUCUGAAGCGACACAUACUUGCAGACCUAGUGUGCACAGUGCAUUGCCUUUAAGGGACAUUAGUGCGAGUCACUUGGGUUUGACAACAGUCAGAUUGUGACAUAGUCAGCGAACAUUGUCAACAGACGCUCACUGACUCCCCAACAAAUAAUCAUUGUAUCUGUUCUGGUUGGGAACGAAUUGGUGAGGGUCUGGUCUUAUUGUGGCGAUGGGAAGUCGGUGAGGGUGUGGUCUGGUUGUGGCAGCGGGGUGGAGUUGGUGAGGAUCAGGUCUGGUUGUGGCAGUGGGGGGCGAAGUCGGUGAGGGUCUGGUCUGGUUGUAGAUGUCAAUGAGCUGGCCUAGUUAUGAUGGGCAGACUGGCUGCUUUCUGGGCUGGAAGAUUCUUGGAUACCAUGAAUAUGGCGAGGCAUUGUUAAUUCCAUUGCUAGGAAUAUAGCAGUAGAAAGCCAUGACGUUGGGGCACAGGAAUCGUGCUGCUGACUGGAGAUAAAUACGGAGUAAGAAAAUGUGGAGUUGCCGUCAGGACAGACUUACACGUGAUACAUUUCUCUCAUAAUGCGCCAGACUGUUGCCUUUCUGUGCGUUGUAUCAGAUGACUUGGUCUGGUAUUUCGUGAUAUAACCUACUCCUUGUAUCACAGUUUCUUGACUGAGCAAGUGACAGUGAACUUACUCCUUGGUCAAUGCACUGUAGCAGUGUAACUGGGAGAUUGGGAAUGAUCUGGGAAUGCCACAAAAAAAUUUAUUGAACUAAUUUCUUAUUGUUCCAUCUUAUCUUGCAGUCCCGUUUUUCUUGGCAAGCUGAGUGAUCUCUAGUCCUCCAGAUCCGCUUAAGCCACAUUUCAGUUAUGCUUCGGACUGUGAUGAUUCCGCAAUCCUUACCAAUUGUUGCCCAAGCAAUAUUUUGACCUGCUGUUUUUCUUUCCUCCUUUUUUUGUUUUGCCUUUGUGCUCUCCCAAAUUCCUCAGGGUGGUCUCUAAUAUUGGCACUUGUAUUUUAUCAGUCCGAAAUGACCAUUUGUAAAAUGAACCUGGACAGUGGAAAGCAGUGCCAUUGUGUCCUGGGGUGGAAUCACGGUCAUGGAGCUUCAUCCAACUUCGUGACACCCAUAAUGCAGAGAAAUGCCCGUCAAACAGGAGUCUCAUGGAGACUGCUUCUAAAUGUGGGGGGACUGGUGAGUUUGCCAAGGAAAAUGGGACCACAAGAUGAGAUGGAACAAAAGGAAAUCAGGUCAGUAAAUCUCUGUGGCAUUCCAAGAUCAUUCCCAGGCUCCCAGUUACAUUGCUACAGUGCAGUGACCGAGGGGAAAGUUCACUAUCACUUGCUCAGUCAAGAAACUGUGAUGCAAAGAGUAGGUUAUAUCACAAAAUACCAAACCCAGUCAUCUGAUACAAUGCACAGAAAGGCAACAGUCCGGUGCAUUUAUAGGAAGAGAAAUGUAUCACAUGUAAGUCUGGCCUGACAGUAACUCCACAUUUUCUUACCUACAGUCAGCAGCAUAAUUCCUAUGUCCCACUGAUUUACAAAGACAAGAACCAAAGGAAAAGUCGGAGGUGACAAUAUCUGUAGGGAAGGUUUAACAGUAGCCUGCUGCGGCUGAUGCAAUUUAACAUUACGUUCAAUGAUCGUAGUGUUCUUGCAGACAGCAGCACUUCUUGGUCUGAAGGUUCCUGUAUCAAUCAAAUAAGUUUGUUACUUUCUGGCUGAGAUAUUUAACUCGGCUUGUUUAGGAGCAAAGGUGGGAAGUAACCUGAUAGGGAUAUGGUGAGAAAAGUGAGAAUGUCACUGUUUCGUUUUGAGUGGUGCUGCUCUAGAAUUCCUUGUCAUGGAAUAAGAAGAAUCUGUAAUGAGUAAGCAGAUGAGUCAAUGUGGCACAAGGUUACUGUGUCAGUGUGAGUGAAGCAGAGUUUAUGCUGUCUUCAACUCCUAUUUUAAUGAUUAUGUAUUAAUUAAACUUGCAGAAGUGUGUUUUUCUUAGAACAACUGAAUUGCUUCAUGGAAUCACAGAAAAGUUAUGGCACAGAAAGGGAACUUUCAUCACAUUGCAUCUGUGCUGCCUGGAUAAACUAGCUGCUCAUUCUAAUCCCACUCUCUGGCUCCUGGGCCUUCACCUUUGUGGGUUAUUGAUUUUUGAGGCAUUUCCAGGUUCCUUUUAAACAGGGUUUCUGUCUCAACCAUUAAACAGGGCAACACAUUUCGUGUACCCAUCAUCUGGGCGGGAAAGGUUUUCCCUCAUGUAUCCUCUAAUCCUUCUAUCAAUCACAGUAAGUCUAUGCCCUCUGGAAUUGACCUAUGAUCUGGGAAACAGCUCUUCUCUGUGUACUCAGUCUAAACUCCAAAUUAUUUUGUACAGCUCAAUUAAGUCACUCCUUAGCCUCCGCUAACCUAAGUGAAACAACCCCAGCCUAUCCAAUUGUUCCUCGCCUGCAGUUUUCAAGCCCUGGCAAUGUAUUGUAAAUCUCCUCUGUACUCUUUCCAGAGCAAUUAUAUUCUUCCUGUAAUAUGACCAGAAUUGGGUGCAAAAUUACACCUGUUAUCUUGACAGGGUUUUACACUGUUCUGGCAUUGCAUCCCUUGUCCUGUAUUUUGUACCUUGUCCAAUGAAGGAUACCAUGCCAAAUGCUUCCUUUCCUUAUUUACCUGUCCUGCCACCUUCAAGAGCACAGUGGAUGCACACUCCAAAGUCUCACUUUUUCUAUUCGUAAUAUUCUCCUCUUAGUAACCUCCUCUUUAUUGUGUAUUGCUUAGCUUUGCCCUUUCCAAUUGCAUCACCUUACAUUUUUCUGGUGAUAUUCCAUUUGCCACUUUUCCGCCGAUUCCUUGAUGUUGUCCCUCAGUCAAGAGCCAUCUACUUCCCUGUCAACUGCAAGGCUAAUUUUUGUGUCAUUUGCAAACAUCCCAAUUGUGCCUCCUACAUUUGUAGUUGUAUAUUAUCACACUAUUACUGGGGAGCUGAAGAGAGAGAAUUGAAGGGCCACUCCAUUUGGAAUUACUCUGCUGCACUUUGUCCUGUUGCAGGUGAUUAAUUAGUCUUGUAAAAUGUUGGAAUUGUUUAGUUUGGAAAGCUGGAGUUACUUUUACAUUUCCAUAAAAGUAAGUGUAGUUUUUCAAAUAUCCAGUGUUUUUUUUGUGUGUGUGUGUGUGUGAGAUGUCAUGUACAGCAUUCUGAUGAAGUUAUUAAUGGUUUGUCACUUGUGAUGGGAGGUGAUAGUUUAAAUCACUUCAUAGAGAACAAUUGAAGAUUUGUUUGGAUUAAUAGGAUAUGUGGAAUAAACAGUUAAAAUUGCAAAAAGGGCACAUGAGAGAAGUCCAUUUUCGGAUUCAAAGCAUACCAAUACUAGAUUAUUUAAGUGUAAUAAUCG